GACGAACGCUGGCGGCGUGCCUAAUACAUGCAAGUUGAGCGCUGAAGGUUGGUACUUGUACCAACUGGAUGAGCAGCGAACGGGUGAGUAACGCGUGGGGAAUCUGCCUUUGAGCGGGGGACAACAUUUGGAAACGAAUGCUAAUACCGCAUAAAAACUUUAAACACAAGUUUUAAGUUUGAAAGAUGCAAUUGCAUCACUCAAAGAUGAUCCCGCGUUGUAUUAGCUAGUUGGUGAGGUAAAGGCUCACCAAGGCGAUGAUACAUAGCCGACCUGAGAGGGUGAUCGGCCACAUUGGGACUGAGACACGGCCCAAACUCCUACGGGAGGCAGCAGUAGGGAAUCUUCGGCAAUGGACGAAAGUCUGACCGAGCAACGCCGCGUGAGUGAAGAAGGUUUUCGGAUCGUAAAACUCUGUUGGUAGAGAAGAACGUUGGUGAGAGUGGAAAGCUCAUCAAGUGACGGUAACUACCCAGAAAGGGACGGCUACCUACGUG
rnacentral:rRNA from 1 species